rnacentral:rRNA from 1 species
AUGCCGGCGGCGGUCGCUUGCUCCGUCAAGUGCCGGCCCCACCACCGCCUCUCGGCGCCGCAGCCCCACGCCGCGCUGGAGCUCCUCCCCCGCGCCCCGGCCUCCGCCGCCGGCGAGCUGCGGGCGACCCGGUGCCGGACCCCGCCUUCCCUCUCCUUCGCGCGCGCCUCCGACCAAGGGGAGGCUCCCUAUGCCCGCCCGCCGUCCGCAAGGCGGGCCCGCGCUGCCGUGGCGGGGUGCGAGGAAGUCGGCCCCGCUUCUUCCGCGGCCGCGGCCGCCCUGCUCGCCGGCGCGCAGUCGCGGCACGCUAUCUUCCGCGAGGAGCUCGUGAGGAGGGCCUACUACGCGGCGGAGGCGGCCCACCGCGGCCAGAUGCGCGCGAGCGGCGACCCUUACCUGCAGCACUGCGUGGAGACGGCGGCGCUGCUCGCGGAGCUCGGCGCAGGCCCUCCGGUUAUCGCGGCGGGGCUGUUGCACGACACGGUGGACGACGCAGGCCUGGAUUACGGCUCCAUCUCCGAGCAAUUCGGUGCUGGCGUUGCGGACCUCGUGAAGGGGGUUUCUAAUCUAAGUCAUUUGAGCAAACUGGCUCGUAGAAACGAUACGGCGAGCAGAACUGAUGAAGCUGACAGAUUGCGUACAGUCUUCCUUGCAAUGGAGGAUGCGAGAGCAGUGCUUAUCAAACUUGCUGAUAGGCUACACAAUAUGAGGACGUUGGAUUCAUUGCCCAAGAUCAAACAGCAGUGCUUUGCAAAGGAAACACUGGAGAUAUUUGCUCCAUUGGCGAAUCAAUUGGGCAUCUUGAACUGGAAGGAGCAGCUUGAAAAUCUGUGUUUCAAGCAUCUUUACCCAGAGCAAUAUGAGGAACUGUCAUCCAACCUUCAUGAGUUUUACAACAGAGAUAUGAUUGCAGCUGCAAUAAGGCGAUUGGAACAGGCCCUUCAGGUGAGAGGUCUAUCCUAUCGUUCCAUAUCAGGGAGACACAAGAGCAUAUACAGCAUCUACAGCAAGAUGACAAGGUACCAAUCGCUGCACACGGUUGUUCUCAGUGAAGAAACACUCCCAUUAGAGAUCCAAAUUCGUACUGCGGACAUGCACUUGCAGGCAGAGUUUGGAAUCGCUGCACAUUGGAGAUACAAGGAAGGCGUACGUAACUGCUCUUCAUCUCUGCCUGAAAUGGUUGAAUGGGUUAGAUGUGUCGUUACAUGGCAGUGUGAAACUUUGCACAUAGACCACCCUUCGCCUCCUGGACUUGGUUCUUCCCCAAGGGCAACAUGCACCUUCCCUUCUGACUCUGAUGGCUGUCCUUUCUCCUAUUCAAAACAAUGUGACCACACUGGACCAAUCCUAGUGAUACUUCUGGAGAAUGAAAAGAUGUCGGUGCAAGAGCUCCCACAAAAUUCGAAAAUACUGGACCUGUUGAAGAGGGCUUCAAGCUACGACAUGCAGUUGAGCCUAAGGCUGAACAGCCAUGCUGUGCACAACCUGAACCAGGAGCUGAAGAUGGGCGACGUGCUGGAGCUGAUCCCUUCAACUCCAUGCAAAUCUGGAGGCUACAUGAGGGAGCUCAACCAAAUGUCUGAUCACCGUCUCGCCGUUUCGCAGUCUUGA